GACGAACGCUGGCGGCGUGCUUAACACAUGCAAGUCGAACGGAAAGGCCCUGCUUUUUUGGGGUGCUCUAGUGGCGAACGGGUGAGUAACACGUGAGUAACCUGCCCUUGACUUUGGGAUAACUUCAGGAAACUGGGGCUAAUACCGGAUAGGAGCUCCUGCUGCAUGGUGGGGGUUGGAAAGUUUCGGCGGUUGGGGAUGGACUCGCGGCUUAUCAGCUUGUUGGUGGGGUAGUGGCUUACCACGGCUCUGACGGGUAGCCGGCCUGAGAGGGUGACCGGCCACAUUGGGACUGAGAUACGGCCCAGACUCCUACGGGAGGCAGCGGUGGGGAAUAUUGCACAAUGGGCGGAAGCCUGAUGCAGCAACGCCGCGUGCGGGAUGUCGGCCUUCGGGUGGUAAACCGCUUUCGCCUGUGACGAAGCGUGAGUGACGGUAAUGGGUGAAGAAGCACCGGCUAACUACGUG
rnacentral:rRNA from 1 species